rnacentral:lncRNA from 1 species
AGCAUGUCUCACAUGGAGAAAUCCCCUUCGGCCUGGAUUGUAAAGCAAACAUUAGAAGAUGCAUAAAGUUCAACCUGGCCAAGAAAACUAGGGUCAAAUUCAGUCCAGUGAAACCAAGUUGAGCCUGAGCAAUCUGAACUAAGCCAAAUCAGGCUGAAGGCCAGGAAAACACAUCAGAGUCACAACUAUUCCACUACAGUCAUGAGAAACCUAGAAACCAGCUUUAAAAAUGUACAGGAAGAAGCAAGCAGAAAUGUUGAACUUUGUACUGAAGAUGCUUUUGAUAUCCAAGUUAUUUCCUGGGUGCAGGAAACAGUGCUAUCUAUAAUUAAAGAAAUGAUGUCCAUCA